AGUGAACGCUGGCGGUAGGCCUAACACAUGCAAGUCGAACGGCAGCACAGUAAGAGCUUGCUCUUACGGGUGGCGAGUGGCGGACGGGUGAGGAAUACAUCGGAAUCUACUUUUUCGUGGGGGAUAACGUAGGGAAACUUACGCUAAUACCGCAUACGACCUACGGGUGAAAGCAGGGGAUCUUCGGACCUUGCGCGAUUGAAUGAGCCGAUGUCGGAUUAGCUAGUUGGCGGGGUAAAGGCCCACCAAGGCGACGAUCCGUAGCUGGUCUGAGAGGAUGAUCAGCCACACUGGAACUGAGACACGGUCCAGACUCCUACGGGAGGCAGCAGUGGGGAAUAUUGGACAAUGGGCGCAAGCCUGAUCCAGCCAUACCGCGUGGGUGAAGAAGGCCUUCGGGUUGUAAAGCCCUUUUGUUGGGAAAGAAAAGCAGCAGGUUAAUACCCCGCUGUUCUGACGGUACCCAAAGUAUAAGCACCGGCUAACUUCGCG
rnacentral:rRNA from 1 species